UACAGAGGUGGCAAGCGUUGUUCGGAAUCACUAGGCGUAAAGCGCAGGUAGGCGGUUCAAUAAGUCUCUUGUGAAAGCUCCCGGCUUAACUGGGAGAGGUCAGGGGAAACUGUUGGGCUAGAGUGUGGCAGAGGAAGCUGGAAUUCCCGGUGUAGCGGUGAAAUGCGUAGAUAUCGGGAGGAAUACCUAUGGCGAAAGCAGGCUUCUGGGCCGUCACUGACGCUGAGCUGCGAAAGCUAGGGGAGCAAACAGG
rnacentral:rRNA from 1 species